rnacentral:rRNA from 1 species
GACGAACCGUGCAAACGUUGUUCGGAUUCACUGGGCUUAAAGGGCGCGUAGGCGGGGGGUCAAGUCAGGGGUGAAAUCGUUCCGCUCAACGGGACAAGUGCUUUUGAUACUGGCCCUCUUGAGGGAGGUAGGGGCAUGUGGAACUUCCGGUGGAGCGGUGAAAUGCGUAGAUAUCGGAAGGAACGCCGGUGGCGAAAGCGGCUCACUGGUCCGGUUCUGACGCUGAGGCGCGAAAGCGUGGGGAGCAAACAGG